GGGGGUGGACGAGUCCCGGUGGGCUCCGCGGUCUUCAAAAUCGUUGAGGGGUGCUGCAGAAGCGGCCUUGGUGGGUUCGACUCCCAUCCACUCCCG
rnacentral:tRNA from 1 species